CCUCCCUAAAGGGAAAUUGGUUUCCAUCUAUUUAGUUCACGAAUUAGGUUUUGAAAAAAAAAAAAAAGAAUCUAUAUUUUAUGAAUUUCUUUUGGCAAUUUCCUCUCUGUAUCCUAUGUUGAAGAAUUUGACUAUCAUUGUUUAUUAAUAUCUCCAAGUCAAUUUAGAGCAAUAGUUUUUUGUUUUGGGAGUUGAGAUAUAUAAAGUGACUUGAAUAUUUUUACAGUUCUGUAAGACGGAAUGGAGUUUAAUAAUAAAGUAGGAAGAUUAUGAAGUUUUAUAUCUAUGAGGCAACUGUUUCAAUGGAUUUUUCUUCCCAGGAAAUGCUGAAGUUAAAAGAGCAAGUACAGACCAAAACCAUCCUUAUGUCAGAGGACAGAACUCUUACUCUCGGCCCGGUGCUUUAGAGGUCCUUUCUGGCCUUCCUCCAGCCAUGCACCUCCCCUUAAGGCACGAGAUGUGCAGGACCCAGGUGGCAUGCCCAUCAGAGCCUUUGCCCCUCGUCUACACCACACUCUGGAUAAUCAGGUCCCUAGUGCCAAGGGGCAGCUUUUAGAAGGAAGUAUGGACAGAGCUUAGAUGUGGGGGCUGGAUUGUCCCAUGUGUGAGCAUGAAGACCCUCCCAGGAUGGGUUAGAGCUGGAAGUGGAGAGAGAAGAGGGGCAGGACAGAGAUGGGAGCCAGGGCCAUAUCUUCCUGCACUGCCAAGUCAUCUGGUGAGAAUUACAAGGAAUUGGAAAAUUCUGAAUACCUUCCAGGUCAUUAUGGAGAUAUAGUUGUCAAGGUAGGAGAAUAGAACAUAUUUUACUAAACAGUUUGUUUCUUUGAUUUAUAACUUUUGAAUGUUUAUGCAUAUGGUAUGUGGGCCUCCAUUCAUACACUCACAUUCCUGCCCAGGUCUCCAGGGCAGUGUACUUUGUCCAGGGAAUGGGAAAGUGUUUGAGGCCAAGAGAACAGAGUUCUACAACUUUCAUUCAUCAGUGUGACCAUGGGCAAGUCACAACCUCUCAAUGCUUCAGUUUCCUCUUAUGUCAAAUAAAAAUCUUACCUGCGUGUUUCACAAAGUGGCCACAUGAUAAAAAGAGAAAAUGAACUCGAAAUGUUUUAUAUAAAUAAUGCUGCAUGUAAUUUUUGUAGCAAUACAUACUGCUGCUUUUGGCAUGACCCAUACAUCUAACACUAGUACAUAACUCCUUUUUUCUACACUGUAUAGCAGGCAAGACACACUUACAUCUCAUGAACUAGUCUGAUAUUAUGGUACAAUCUUAACAGUCUUAUCAAACCGGAAACUAUCUUGACACCAGCUUUGAGAGUGUAAGCCAAGGGCAGUACAAUGCUUUUGAGUGCCAUUUAAUCUAGUGUUUCCCAAUCACUUUCAGUGCAAAGACUCAUAAUAUUAAAAGCAAACAAAAAAAUUUGCAGACUCAUUCAUGAGGGUAUCAAUUGAGGAAAAAAACACCAUAAUCAAAACUUAAUCAUACUUUUAAAUGAAUCGUGCUUUCUUAAUCACAACAGCAUCUGCACACAUUUGCAAAAGCAUAGGUCAUACUAUGUGUGAGAGAAUGAUUCUGUUUGGGGACAGUACCUUCUGUGUGUCUAGACUCUCAGGCUCUGUACUGAUGAGUUCAAGGCCUCCCGGCGGUGGUCAGCAGAUCAGAUGAUUAAGGUACAUGUGUUGGGCACAAACUUAUCACUGAAUAAAUGAUUAAUUGAAUUAAGGUACUCAAAUAUGUAUUAAUCACCAAUAAUAUACAAGGCUUAGGACAAAAAGCUGCCCUCAUGAGGCUUAUAAUCAAGUACAGGGAACAAGGCAAAUCCUGAACUCCAGAUCCAAACAAUGGAACGUAGGAUGAAUACAGGAAGCAGUAUGUGGGGAUUAAUGGCCACAUUCUAACAUGGCAGGAAUCAGCAGAAGUGUCAUAAAGAUCAUGACGUUUGUGUUUCAUCUCCAAGGAAGAGUGGGCCUUUGGAAGGCAGAGAUAACCAACUAACAUUUGUCCAGAGCCUUCUAUAUAGGAGCAUCCUUGUCUAUCAAGAGGGUUGGAUUCUCGAUCCCUUAGUUCCUCUGGAGAAGAAGGAGGCCUGUGCAAGGAGGACUCAAGAAUAGCAAGGACGCCUUAAGGAUCUAGUCGCCACAGGGCCUGCAGGCUGACCCUAAAGUAAAUUUCUUGAAGAAAUUGGAUCUCAGAGAUUACAGGUGGGGACUUUUUGAAAGUAUGUCUAUACUCAAGUGGAGAAAAGCCCAACUAAAAGAAUGGUGGACUGACUGACAUCACAACUGUGGAUUAAGCAAAAGUUCUUUUUAAAAGGGCCAUCUUGAAGAUUAUGACUCAGACUUCAUAGGAACUAAGGUGAUUGGCAGUGGAAGAAAUCACGUGAAAUUUCUUAAAUAAAAAUUUCAUG